UACAGUGGGUGCAAGCGUUGCUCGGAAUCACUGGGCGUAAAGCGCACGUAGGCGGGUUGUUAAGUCGGGGGUGAAAUCCUGGAGCUCAACUCCAGAACUGCCUUCGAUACUGGCGACCUUGAGUCCGGGAGAGGUGAGUGGAACUCCGAGUGUAGAGGUGAAAUUCGUAGAUAUUCGGAAGAACACCAGUGGCGAAGGCGGCUCACUGGCCCGGUACUGACGCUGAGGUGCGAAAGCGUGGGGAGCAAACAGG
rnacentral:rRNA from 1 species